AACGAACGCUGGCGGCACGCCUAACACAUGCAAGUCGAACGAUCCCUUCGGGGAUAGUGGCGCACGGGUGCGUAACGCGUGGGAACCUGCCCUUAGGUUCGGAAUAACUCAGAGAAAUUUGAGCUAAUACCGGAUAAUGUCUUCGGACCAAAGAUUUAUCGCCUUUGGAUGGGCCCGCGUUGGAUUAGCUAGUUGGUGGGGUAAAGGCCUACCAAGGCGACGAUCCAUAGCUGGUCUGAGAGGAUGAUCAGCCACACUGGGACUGAGACACGGCCCAGACUCCUACGGGAGGCAGCAGUGGGGAAUAUUGGACAAUGGGCGAAAGCCUGAUCCAGCAAUGCCGCGUGAGUGAUGAAGGCCUUAGGGUUGUAAAGCUCUUUUACCCGGGAUGAUAAUGACAGUACCGGGAGAAUAAGCCCCGGCUAACUCCGUG
rnacentral:rRNA from 1 species